AGUCAGGUUACUCUAUUUUUUCCGGGCCGCAUAGGAGCGUGAGAGGGAAGGGAGUCCAGGUGGUGACGCGAGGGGGGAGCCGGUGCGUGGCGUGGGUUGGGCACGGCGUGAGAGCGGGCACAUGCAGAUGAGGCUCCCGGGCAGAGAGGGUUAGGCAGGAGUGCCCCGACUGGCUGGCCCUAGUAGUCUGCCUUACGACUCUACCCUGGCAGCACGUGCACCAUGCCCCGCCGCCGCGAGUGUAGCGCCCUCACACACCCUGACGAAGUGCUUAUAGUGUUUAGGAAAAGUGUGGAAAGUGUCGCUUGUGAUCCCUAAGUAUACCUAAUCCCUGCCUUGGCUGUUCCGCCCCUCGUCCCGGUGAUCACAGUGAAGGGUUUACCUGGUGGUGGACGUACCCUGGUCUUGAGCCAAUACCUGGGAGGGAAAGUUGAUGUGCUGGUGAUGUAAGCCCCACGAGGUGACGUCACAGUGUCUAAGAAGCCCCAAGAAGCUUACCUUCCUUACCUCCCUCGCCCCCUCUGACGGAUAUCCCACGCCCUUGGAAACGCGCUCCCGAAAUUUUUAAAACAAGUGGGAAAAAAUGUGUAUAAGUGUGGCGCAUGAAAACUCAUUGUGAUGUGAGUGAUGAUUCGAACUUAUGGAUUCACCUUUCUGAAAACUUGACGGUGUUAAGAAUGACAACGCUAAAGAAACAGGAGAAGACUGACGAGAAGGGAGGAGUGGGAGGAGUGAAGAAUAGGAUGAGGACAGUGCGGACACGGAGAAAGGAAGGAAGGAGGAACAGGAGGAAGGAAAGGUGUGAAAGAUAAAUGCAGGAGGCGAAGGAAGAGGAGGCGAGGAUUCGGAAUAGAAGUUAUGUCGAGCGGCGACGUGGAAACAGCCCGACGGAGUAAGAAGAUUUGGUGAGCAAGACCCUUGGCCCUCCUCUUCUGGCACCACUGCGGCACUGACAAGAUGGCAUAGGCGGUGCUGCGCUGCCCUUCAGUAUCUCAUUGGUGCCCUCAGUAUGCCACAAGAAGGUGCUGCUGGUGAUGAGAUGACAGGAGUGCGGUGAGAGGGAAGCAACCCGAGGCUCCAUCACAGCGCGAAUUCCAUCUUACACUCCCGGGACACAAGGACGGUAAUCCCUCCCCGACUCUCGUGGCUUGACGGUCCGUUAGAACAGGAGGCGCCAUGCAGUAAUCCAGAUACCGUAACCUUACCACUCAGAAAACAACUAUGAUAAGAUCGAAGAAUCUCAAGAUAUGAAAAAAGGAAAAACAGAGAACAAGAAUACAAAAUGAAGGCUGUAAUAGAUCAAAUUAUGUAAGAAGUAAGAAGAACAUCCAUUAUCUCAACUGCACAGGAUGAAGAGAACGAAGAUUUCCCCCCUCACCAGAUGCAGCGGCGCGAGUCAAGUGAGCACCACGUGAGGAGCUGACGCAGAGAGUAGGGAGGGGUGGAAGACAGCCAACGCAGCUAAAACAGUGAUGUAUAACUGAUAGCGUUGGGACUCUGGUAAUGUAUGGGGGGACUGGCCGUGGUGAUGAAUGGCUCCGAAGGGCCUUGAGAUAGGAGGAACAGAUACCAACACUGAGAAAGAGAGAGUAUGGGAGAUGAAACAGGGAGGAAAGGGGACGGGAACCAAAGGAUAUUGUUGGAUGAUAGGAAACAGGGAGGGAAGAAUAGGACUAAAGGGUCUUAUGAUAGGUAACGAAUAGGAUAACUUGAAGUCCUUGGCGAUGUUUAUUCUUUUUUUUAUGUUUAUGGUAGGGAAACGCUUUCAUAUCUGGCAUUUUCUGUAUGUUAAAGGACUGUUGCAUCGUUUUUACACACGCACACACGCACACACACACACACAAACACACACACACACACACACACACACACACACACACACACACACACACACACACACACACACACACACAGACACACACAGAUUCAGAUCCAGAUCGUUUAUUGACCAAAGAAAAAUAUAUGAAUGUAUAAAUUAAAAAAAGAAAGAGAGGCUUUGGUCCAAAUUACAAUAACUGACUCUUUAGAAUAUACAACUAUUUAGCAAUCUUACAUAAAGCAAUAAACACAGAUCCAUAUUGUAUAAAAUAAAUAACACACACACACACACACACACACACACACACACAC